rnacentral:rRNA from 1 species
CACGACUUACUAAUUCUCUAAGGACUAUUACAACGAACUUUACUAAAAAGUAAAAAGGCUUUUACUACAAAGAAGGACAACAAGACCCCGACGAACUUACCUUUAUUCAGCUGGGGCAGCUAAAAAACAAUAUCUUAUUAACAACCUUUACCCCGACCCAAUAACAUUGACCAAAGAUUAAAGUUACCGCGGGGAUAACAGCAUAACCAGACCCUAGAGACCCUAUCUAACAUCUGCCAUUUGACCUCGAUGUUGAAUUAAUAAAGCUACAUUUAGCAAAAAAAAUGCAAGCAGGUCUGUUCGACCUUUAAUAAAUUACAUGAUUUGAGUUCAGACCGGCGCAAGCCAGGUCAGUUUAUAUCCUCUUACAACUAGUGUUAGUACGAAAGGACCCCACAAAAAUUAAUA